CAAUAGCGUAUAUUAAAGUUGUUGCAGUUAAAAAGCUCGUAGUUGGAUUUCUGGCGGGAACGGUGGGUCCUUCGCUUCGGCGAUGUGAACUCGGUCCGUUUCCUGCCAUUUUCGGGGAGAACGUGCCUGGCAUUAGGUUGUCGGGUUCGGGAUCCCCGUCGUUUACUGUGAAAAAAUUAGAGUGUUUAAAGCGGCUUACGCCGUUGAAUACAUUAGCAUGGAAUAAUAAGAUAGGACUUUGGUGGUCUAUUUUGUUGGUUUGCACACCAAGGUAAUGAUUAAUAGGGAUAGUUGGGGGUAUUCGUAUUCAAUUGUCAGAGGUGAAAUUCUUGGAUUUAUGGAAGACGAACUACUGCGAAAGCAUUUACCAAGGAUGUUUUCAUUAAUCAAGAACGAAAGUUAGGGGAUCGAAGACGAUUAGAU
rnacentral:rRNA from 1 species